rnacentral:rRNA from 1 species
AUACGUAGGUGACAAGCGUUAUCCGGAUUUACUGGGCGUAAAGGGCGUGUAGGCGGUCUUGCAAGUCAGAAGUGAAAUUCCUGAGCUCAACUCGGGCGCUGCUUCUGAAACUGCAGGACUUGAGUGCUGGAGGGGAUAGCGGAAUUCCUAGUGGAGCGGGAAAAUGCGCAGAUAUUAGGAAGAACACCGGUGGCGAAGGCGGCUAUCUGGACAGUAACUGACGCUGAGGCGCGAAAGCGUGGGGAGCAAACAGGAUUAGAUACCCUGUUAGUCCACGCCGUAAACGAUGAAUACUAGGUGUAGGGGGUAUCGACUCCCUCUGUGCCGCAGUUAACACAAUAAGUAUUCCGCCUGGGGAGUACGGCCGCAAGGUUGAAACUCAAAUGAAUUGACGGGG